rnacentral:rRNA from 1 species
UACGUAGGGUGCGAGCGUUGUCCGGAAUUAUUGGGCGUAAAGGGCUCGUAGGCGGUCUGUUGCGUCAGGAGUGAAAACUCGGGGCUUAACCCCGAGCCUGCUUCUGAUACGGGCAGACUAGAGGAUCGGAGGGGAGACUGGAAUUCUCGGUGUAGCAGUGAAAUGCGUAGAUAUCGAGAGGAACACCAGUGGCGAAGGCGAGUCUCUGGACGAUUCCUGACGCUGAGGCACGAAAGCCAGGGGAGCAAACGGG